GUGCACACGUAUGUGUAUG
rnacentral:miRNA from 1 species